GAUGAAGAACGCAGCGAAAUGCGAUACUUGGUGUGAAUUGCAGAAUCCCGUGAACCAUCGAGUCUUUGAACGCAAGUUGUGCCCGAAGCCAUUAGGCCGAGGGCACGCCUGCCUGGGCGUCACACGUCGUUGCCCCCCCCAUCUACUCCUUCGGGAUUGCGGGGGGCGGAUGAUGGCCUCCCGUGCGCCUCGCCGCGCGGUUGGCAUAAAUGCCAAGUCCUCGGCGACGCACGCCACGACAAUCGGUGGUUGCGAAACCUCGGUUGCCCGUCGUGUGCGGUCGUCGCGCAUCGAGGGCUCGAAAAAAUUGCCGAGUUCCGGCUCGGCUUUCAACGCGACCCCAGGUCAGGCGGGGUUACCCGCUGAAUUUAAGCAUAUCAAUAAGCGGAGGA
rnacentral:misc_RNA from 1 species